rnacentral:misc_RNA from 1 species
GAUGAAGAACGUAGCGAAAUGCGAUAAGUAGUGUGAAUUGCAGAAUUCAGUGAAUCAUCGAAUCUUUGAACGCACAUUGCGCCCUUUGGUAUUCCAAAGGGCAUGCCUGUUCGAGCGUCAUUUGUACCCUCAAGCUUGGCUUGGUGUUGGGCGUCUUGUCUCUAGCUUUGCUGGAGACUCGCCUUAAAGUAAUUGGCAGCCGGCCUACUGGUUUCGGAGCGCAGCACAAGUCGCACUCUCUAUCAGCAAAGGUCUAGCAUCCAUUAAGCCUUUUUUUCAACUUUUGAACUCGGAUCAGGUAGGGAUACCCGCUGAACUUAAGCAUAUCAAUAAGCGGAGGA